GAGGGGCUGGGAGUUACCUUCUAGUUUAAGUUACAGAUUACCUUCUCAUCCACUUGGAGAAGCAAACAGCAGGUUCACGUAAACGACAACUUGAAUUUGCUGGGGCCUGCCAUAACUGACAAAAAGUCUAUGGAGAAGCCACACAGUGACUGUGAUAUGAAGACAACCGACAAGCUGACUUACCUGCUGCCGCAGCAUCACCAACCAGCCUUCGUGCGCGCCUGCAUGGCCUAAGUUACCGCCUCGUGUGCAGCCUUUCCCAGCCGGAUGAAUAGGCAUGCAACCUCCCCGCGCACCAGUCCGAACAGCCCUGCUAACUGCGGCACCGUGCCUUCUGCCCUUCUCCUUCCGUGCGAUCACCAGCAUCCUCUGCAACUCUGCCAGCGUCCGCGAUGUGUCCACUGGCGUCCUAUACCGACGUACUUCAAACGCAGCGUUGUUACUAUUUAUAUUACAUGUUAUAUUACAUGGACCUAUAUAUGGGCCAAUUAGAUCAGUCAAUGAAUGCUCAAAAGGGGGGUCUAGGUGGAAUGGCCGAAAGCAGAAAGUUUCACUACGGGAUGUUGUUAGGGGUAGACAGGAGACAUACAUACUAAAAGUCCUCGGACUUUGGAC